UACGAACCGUCCAAACGUUAUUCGGAAUCACUGGGCUUACAGAGUUCGUAGGCGGUCCCAAAAGUUAGGUGUGAAAUCCCUCGGCUCAACCGAGGAACUGCGCUUAAAACUGUGGGACUCGAGGGAGAUAGAGGAAAGCGGAACUGAUGGUGGAGCGGUGAAAUGCGUUGAUAUCAUCAGGAACACCGGUGGCGAAGGCGGCUUUCUGGGUCUUACCUGACGCUGAGGAACGAAAGCCAGGGGAGCGAACGGG
rnacentral:rRNA from 1 species